rnacentral:rRNA from 1 species
CAGCCGCCGCGGUAAUACGUAGGUGGCAAGCGUUGUCCGGAAUUAUUGGGCGUAAAGGGCUCGCAGGCGGUUUCUUAAGUCUGAUGUGGAAGCCCCCGGCUCAACCGGGGAGGGUCAUUGGAAACUGGGAAACUUGAGUGCAGAAGAGGAGAGUGGAAUUCCACGUGUAGCGGCGAAAUGCGUAGAGAUGUGGAGGAACACCAGUGGCGAAGGCGACUCUCUGGUCUGUAACUGACGCUGAGGAGCGAAAGCGUGGGGAGCGAACAGGAUUAGAUACCCGCGUAGUCCCUGUCUCUUAUAC